AGCGCAGGUUGCCAUGGAAACCGUCUCUUCCCAGACCCGCAGCCUGUGUGCCUCCCGAUGCUCCCUCCGCACCCCCACCCCGCAGGGGCCCCGGGACACAGCCUCACGGGGGCGGUGCACGCAGGGCCUCCUUGGGGUGCAGACCUGCCUCCUCGCCCCUGGCCGGUGGCCCCAGGGACAAGCCCCUGCCUGGUGCCCACCCGGCCGUCCCCCGUGGCUCCCCGUGGCCUGCAGGAGCAGCGAGUCCCUCUCCUCCUCCUGCUCAGGACAGCAGAGGGCUCGGGCUGCGGGAGGACAUGCAGGUGCCGAUCUCGGCGAUUCCCCUCCGGCCUGCGCAGCUCCGGCCAUAGCUGGCCCCUGGGAGGGAAAGACCAAGGAGGAGGAGGAGGGGGAGGCCAGCUGACUCCCCUGGCAAGACACCUGGGCUUCCAGGCCCCCGAGACAGGCUGGAGCUGGAUAAUUGGAUCUUCUUCUUCCGGGUCCCUUCCCCAAGGCCAGCAGGGGCAAAUCCCCCUUCCUCCCGACAGAUCCUCUCCGUGUUAGACGUCCAGCUCAGACGCCUCCUCCAGGAAGCCCUCCCAGGGGCGCUUGUGUUCUGGUCACCUUCCCUCUCCGCUGGGAGCCACCGAUGUGUCCGAAGCCUGCUUCUCCGUUCCCAGUGGCCAGGGCUGAAGGCCACAGGGUGCGCAGGAAACCAGGGCGUUGGAAUGCACGCUCAUCCAAAGCUCCCGCUGGGUGUCCAUCUUCCGGGGCUCUGUCCACGGGCCCAACGUUUGGCAAAGUUCAAUGACUUUAAAAUACACACAGCUUGAGUGAACGUCACCUUGCUGGGAGUUUCAUAGGUUAAGUUAAAACACCAGACCAACAGAGUCUGGAAGAACUUCAACAGUCCUUUCUUUUAGUUUCCCUGUUUCUACCCACGGCCUCUACAAUCUGUUCUCCCCGUGGGUCCUUAUAACACAUCGGCCCUGACAAGGUCAUUCUGUGGCACAUCCUUUCUUUUGGAGUAACCAUCAAAGAUGAUUGCCCGGCCUCCUCUCCUCCGUCCCCUCGGUCACUCAGCCCUGGCCCAUCCCAGCAUGGCCCUGCCUCAGGACCUUGGCACCUGCUCUUUCAACUUUGAUGCUCUUCCCCCAAUUAUCUGUAUGGCUUGUGUCCUCCUUCAUUCAGCUCUCGGUCCUCAAUGUCACCUCCUCACAGAAGACGUCUCUGGUCAUCCAUGGCUGGAGAUUCUCUUUAACCCUGCUUAGCUUUCUCUGCAGUAGCUGCCACCUCCUUACAGAUGGUAUUACCUUCCAGAUCCUGCAGGAUGUCAAGUCCUCUUCCCUGCAACCCCGGAAGGAAGCCCGCCAGGACUGCGGCCCCUCUCUCAGCUGCUGCCACCCACGAGCCUCAGGGCCUGUCAGCUCUCUCCUGUCUCUCUGCGUCCCUGGCCCCACGACUCCUUGGGGGCAGCAGCCGUGGCUGCAUCAUCCACGUCACUGAGUGUCUAGCGCCCCGCGCCUGGCCAGGGGUUCGAAUCCCGCACAACCUUGUGGAACACGUGAAUGAAGAGUGGACGAAGACACGAGGUUCUGCACCGUGGCUUCCAACCAAGGACAGGGAGACUUGCCAGUGUUCAGGGACACUUCUGUGGGCCACAGCUCAGGAUGGGGGAAGUGGUCCUGGGAGAAGAGGCCGGGCAGUAUCAGCUGUCCCACAAUGCACAGGUGUGUCCCCAUGGUCCAUCCGCCUCCACCCAGGAAUCCCUCAACCCCAGAGGGGUGGGGGGGGGAAGGGCAUGAGCCCCUCCCCCAGCAGGUGUGCCCGCUGGUGAGACGUACAGGGUAACGCCCGAGGAGACCCCAGGAGACAGGGCGGGGGUGCUCACUGGUGUCCCCACUGUCACCCAGGUGGACUCCUACUCAGCCUUCAAAACCCAUCCCAGCACCACCCCCUCCAGGUCGCCUUCCUGAUGUCCCCCAGGCUCAGCGGCCACUGCUCCACUGUCCUGUAAUUAUCUCUGAAUGGGACCGCCCCCGCUCCGAUCUGAGGACAGGGGCUGUGUCCUAUUUGUCACGAUUUCUUGAGUCCUUAGAAACAGGCCCCCUGUGGCCUUGCAGCCUGCAGCCCGGGCGCCCCCUCCUGGCUCCUGGGAGCACCGUGUCAGGGGCAGCUCCGCGAGACGCCGGCCCUGGGGACAGCCAACCCGUGUGACCUCCCACGGAGGAGGAGGACAGCCCGUUCCGACCAUCCGGACUUUGUCAUUGACUUGGCUGCCAAGCCCGAGAGCAAGGCGUCCUCUCAAUGAGCACGUCGACUCCGCGAGCUAUAAAUUAAAAAGGAAAAAAAAAAAA